UCACAUUAGAAAAAGAUGUCAUUUAUGCAACAUACUACCACAUAACUAUGAUCAACACAUGCGAAAAACUCAUAUGAAUGAAAAACUAUAUAAGUGCGAUUACUGCGAGGAAACAUUCAAACAUUCAUUCAAAAAAAAUGACCACAUGCGACUACAUACGGGAGAAAAGCCAUUUCUGUGCGGGAUUUGUGGCAAGU